rnacentral:rRNA from 1 species
UACGUAGGGGCCGAGCGUUGUCCGGAGUUAUUGGGCGUUAAGCGCGCGCAGGCGGCCUCGCGCGCCCGACGUGAAAGCCCCCGGCUUAACCGGGGAGGGUCGUUGGGGACGGCGGGGCUUGAGGGCGGGAGAGGGUGGUGGAAUUCCCGGUGUAGUGGUGAAAUGCGUAGAGAUCGGGAGGAACACCCGUAGCGAAGGCGGCCACCUGGGCCGACCCUGACGCUGAGGCGCGAAGGCGUGGGGAGCGAACGGG